AGCUCCAAUAGCGUAUAUUAAAGUUGUUGCAGUUAAAAAGCUCGUAGUUGGAUUUCUGGUCCUUCGUUUGUGUCCUCCGAAAGGAGUGAACGCAAGGGGAGGGUCAUCCUCUCGAAGACUGCGUGUGCUCUUAACUGAGUGUGCGGAGGAUUCGGGACCUUUACUUUGAAAAAAUUAGAGUGUUCAAGGCAGGCUUUGAGGCUUGAAUACAUGAGCAUGGAAUAAUGGAAUAGGACCUCGGUCCCUAUUUCGUUGGUUUUACGGACCGAAGUAAUGAUUAAGAGGGACAAUUGGGGGCAUCCGUAUUUCGUAGUCAGAGGUGAAAUUCUUGGACCUACGAAAGACGAACAACUGCGAAAGCAUUUGCCAAGAGUGUUUUCAUUAAUCAAGAACGAAAGUA
rnacentral:rRNA from 1 species